AACGUAGGAGACAAACGUUAUCCGGAGUUACUGGGCGUAAAGGGCGCGUAGGCGGCCUUCUAAGUCAUGCGUGAAAUCCCCGGGCUCAACCCGGGAACUGCGUCUGAUACUGGAAGGCUUGAAUCCGGGAGAGGGAUGUGGAAUUCCAGGUGUAGCGGUGAAAUGCGUAGAUAUCUGGAGGAACACCGGUGGCGAAGGCGGCAUCCUGGACCGGUACUGACGCUGAGAUGCGAAAGCGUGGGGAGCAAACAGG
rnacentral:rRNA from 1 species